CCCUGACUUAUUAACAAAUGAUGUCUUGGCACAGAGCUAGGACACCUGUGUGAAAAUGAUGGCUACUUCAUCAGAACUCUGAGCAUGCCAGGAGCCCCUCAGGAUACCUUAGAAACUGGAUAGGUAGGCUGCUUAGUCACAUGCAUACCAGACAAAAGAGAAGUUUACGGAAGCCCUGAAGCAAAACUUGAGGGAAUGCUGCCCUGAUGGGGAGGUGGUAGCAAGUCUGCAGACGGACCUAGGACACCACCCAAGAUGGAAGGGAAGUUUUGGAGGCCCUCAAGGUCCAUCUCAGGAAGCCAAGUCUGAAACUGACAAAGCAGAAAUGGACUAGAUCAACAGCAGCAUCCAGGGCUGGAAAUAAAAGCGUGACUUUGAGAACUGCUGAUGACUCCUUGAUUUAGACUAUAUUUAUUUGUAGAACACAUUAAAGGAGUAAUCUUGUAGGACAUUAAUCCCCAGUCGAAUUUUCCAAUAGUUUGAACACAAGUCCAAUUUGCAUCAUUUGUAAGUUGGGGGACCCCUUCUGAGUCUAUAGAAAAUUUCCUUCAAGGGAAAUAAACUUUUCAUGACCAACAACAGAUGAUGAAAGAAAAACUUUUGGUGAAAACAAAUCCUAUUUUGGUCUCAUCUAGCAAUUCUUUUUUUCAAAGACUUCCCAAAUAUUUUCAUAUAGAGCUUGUUUGAAACCAUUUAGGAAAGGACUAUCAUUCUAUCCCUCCAAGUGCAAAAGAAAAGGAAAACUUACUCAAGCCUAUUUUUGCUUUCUUCCUUGGAAUCCAAUAUAAGCCUGGCUCCAGAGGAGAAGAAGCACACAGCUGCCAAUGACCCGAAACAGUUGUUGGCAGAGGGCUGUCACACUCCCUUUACACUCUUGCUCCAGAGCUGGUUGGGCCAUAAUGACAGGAAAGAUUUGUGGCUAUACCCAGGACCCAGACAGAGGCGUCUUUAUUGCUCCCAGUUGUUAGUUACAUUUAUGUAUAUUUUGUGACUGACCUUAUUAACACACAUUUCUGCAUUUUUAAUAGAGAACACUAUAGUAGAACUCUUCAUUUGUCAUUGAACAUGUACUUCGUUGGGAUAAUUCUUGAUUUAUUAAAAGAACUUUUCAUUUGUCAUUUCCUUGAUUAGGUUGUGGAUGUGUUUUGUUUGUAUUCUCCAUCACACUUACACUAAAAUCUUGCUAUAUCAGACGUUUGAUACAUUGAUUGUUUCAUUCAUUCACAAAUAUUCCUUGGGAAUCCUUUGAGACAGGCCUUUUGGCAGAUGAUUGAAGACUAAGAGCUCCUUUCUCCAAGGAGUUACAAGGAAGGGGAGCGAUCACGGGAGUCAGUGUUUCUCAAAGAAUGAAAGCAUAAUGGAGGGGGAUGCAGUUUUAAUACUUUCCAUAAUGUGAAAGGUACGAUUGACAUUUGAAUGUUCUUAACAUUCUCUUCAUUUAAUAAACAUGAAUUAUUAUUUCCCCUAAUCCCA
rnacentral:lncRNA from 1 species